GUGGAGCACGAGGACUAAAAGCAACCUCUUAUUGGCUGCAUUGGUAGCAACAACUUUUUAGAAGUUUAGGUUUUAUUUAACAUAUUCCUUAAUAUUUUCCUAGUAUUCGGGUAAGGAGGUAUUUUAGCUCCGAAGGAGCUCAAGCUUUACAGAAAAGUGAAACAGCUGCUGGACCGUUUCUAAUUGAGGUUGCAGAGUACAUCGUGUUAUUGGGAGUCUGUGUUGCCAGCAAACCCAGAGAGAGUCUGCGUGCUGAGAGACGACCAGGGGGAAAUUAGGGGACCUCAAAUGGAGGGGACUUUAACCGAGGCAAACAAACGGUUUCCCAUACCUCUCCCAAGAACACUGAAGUUUACAGAAACCAAGAUUUUUAUUUUCUUAACCUGCUCGCUUCUCUUUUCGGCUGCAGAAAGGAAAUAAUGUUAGCUAGAUCUGAUGUGUUUAUUCGAGACUUUUUUAUUUUUUUGCUAGCAUAUUAUUGUAGCUGCAUAAGCUAAAGAGGUAAGUCAUUCCAGACAAAGUCUCCAUAAUCCACCUGUUAAAGACAAAAAAAUGCUAAAAACUGAAUACGUGCGCACACGGUGCCAGAAGCCAAUGAGCAAGACUCUAAAACUAUUCUGUGAUAGUUUUGGAUUUCUCUCUCUCCAUAAGCCUCUCAUUGUGUUAGAGGACCUGCUUUGUACAAGUGCCUGCCAGCUGCUUACCAAAUGAGGUUAUAGUGUUUCCCUAUCAACUGUAAAUUUCAAUAAUUUGUUGGAGGGGCCUCUCACUGUCAGUUUUUAUCAUAUUAUCAAUGACGACUCAAUUUUCCUCUGCCACUCCAUCUCAAGCAGUGACCCCUGGCCCUAUUACAGUCCUGUAAUGAAGUGCAAUGGAGUGGUAAUUGGUCCACAUUAUACCAGAUCAGGUAACAUUAGACUUAUUUUCUUAUCACAAUGAGCCCUGCUGGUGACUCUGAAUGAGAAACCAAACACAGUUUCUUUCUUAUGCAGGCUAUCAUCCAAAUAACUUUUCAGCUAGAGACCCUUUCCCCAUUUCAGUUUUCCAUUUCAAGAUUGCGCUCCGUGUCCUCAGACUGCGCUUUGUUUUCCCGUUUCCCCUAUUUUAAAAGUCUCCCAAACAGCGUCUGAGGCUGUGCAGAUAUGAGGUAGAGCUUUCCCGAGAUGGGGAAGUACAGUAAACGAGACGGUAACAUGACCGUUAUGUCUGCAAUAUUAGAUGUACAGUGGUCUGCCUCCCCCUCACUCACUCCCCUCUGCUACACCAUCCUAUCUUGGAGUUCUUAGUACUCUCUAACUCUGGUUUUGACUUUUUUAAUGUUAUUUUGUACAUCUUUAUGAUCACUGAAAAUUCAGAACUGUUCGAACUUUAAAAGUGUGCUGCCAUUAAUAUUAAGUCUACGUUUCUUUCAUUCAUUAAAAAAACAGCAUAGCGGAAAAGCUAACUUUCCACCCAGGAGACAGAUUAUAUAGAUUUCAUUGAAAUCAGAUGCAAUUUGAUAUCAGUUUUAUUUUACCGAUUGCAAUAAUUCAUAUUCCAAAACUCUUUUAAUUGAUUAAUGAAUAAAAUUAAUUUAACUAAGAAAAAAUUAAUAUGUUGUGUUUUCCUGUUAAUAGUCAAGCACCCUUUUAUUGUGAAUCUAUUGUAGACAGGGGUCAGAUACACUGGAACUAAAAUUCACUGUUAGCUUGGUCAGUAGUAAGCUGGUCUGACUUACUCAGUGCCAGUGCAGCAGAGUAUCACUCGGCUGUUGGUCCACGUCUGAACUUUUGUGCUACGAGAGGCAGGAUGCCAGGUCUGUGUUGUGGCUGACACACUCUGUCUAGCAGGGUUGCUCUGUGCGCUGAAAACACACACAGGACUAAAAAGACAGGAUAUUGGAUAACAAGGUUAAAACAUAAGAGCAAAACUAUUCUCUUAUUAAACUCAGGCUGCAGGGAUUUGAUUUGAGCCACCUAAUAGAUAGUGGUUUCAAGGGAGCCCAAACAAAAGGUAACGGUCCGGUCAUGCUUAUGGUAGCUAAUGGCAGAUUUAAAAGAAAUUAGGGGACUCUUUUUCUACAGGAAAUUGUACUUAAAGACGGGUCAUGGAUCACCCUGCUCUUCACAGGCAGCUUCAGAAGUCAGAAAGUGAACUUUUGCUGUGACCAUUAUAAGGUCUGCAUCGCAGAAAGAGGUUAGAGCUGAAAUAAAACUGACCGUAUUGUUGGAGAAUAGCAGUGUGAAUUGAUUUUGUCAAUGAAAUAAUGUCUAGACAGGUGAAGAGACUCUUGCUGACUGAUUCUGUAAUUACAAUUAAAGCAACUUAGCCCUCAGUGUAACCUAUGUGUAUGUGGGUUGGCCACCCCAGAGCCUGAACCUCAGCAAUAUUAAAGCAAUGUGAAGUCAUAUGGACUUUAAAGCUUGUUAGUGUUGUACAUACUCUUGUUUCUGCCUUCUAUACUGCAUUACUGUUUCUGUUUGCACAUUUCAAUAAAUACCUGAAAACUUGAAGUGUACCCUACAACACUUUUAGCAUGCAUGAAAGACGUUUUACAAAAUAAAAAUAAAAACAUUUAACUUUUAUACAUAUCACCUGCAUAAUCUGUUGAGUCUCUUUUUGUUUGUGUAAUUUAACUAAUUUUG